rnacentral:ncRNA from 1 species
UGACUCCUGCUUGGUAAGAUAUAGCCAAAUCGCCAAUACCGAGUCUUGGGCUACCUGCAGUAAUGCAGGGUGCUAAGCGUAGACAGGGAGGUAAUAGGCCUGAAAGUGAUUGAGCCUCGAAAUGAUGUAUCGUUGGGAAGGUCGACGGUUUGAGGAUUCUGGAAGACAACUUUUCUUUUAGCGUUAGAAUGGCGAGCUGGAAGAAACUUCCCCGGGGUCAAAGAGCC